rnacentral:lncRNA from 1 species
CAAGGUCUCUUUAAUUAGCCUCAGGCAUUUUGAUCCUUUAAACCCUAAACUGUCUUUAAACUAUCCAGAAGCUCCACUGGAGAAAUAAAUCCUCUCUUGAGCCAACCCAUAACACAUUCCCGAAGAAAAAAAAAGAUGAAACUGACCUGCUCAUUUAGUGAUGAACAAAGCUCCAAGGCCUUGUAGAAGCACUGGCCAAGCUGACCCAGAAGAAAACUUUAUGUAAAUGGCUCAAGCAUAUUAUAAUGUUGGACCAAGAAAUCCUGAAGCAAAAAAG